CUUGGUCAUUUAGAGGAAGUAAAAGUCGUAACAAGGUUUCCGUAGGUGAACCUGCGGAAGGAUCAUUACAGAGAUCAUGCCCUUCGGGGUAGACCUCCCACCCUUUGUUAUACCAACGAAUGUUGCUUUGGCGAGCCGCCCUAGGCCGUCGGCCUCGGCUGACGCGUGCUCGCCAGAGACCCCAAACUCUGUAUCAGUGUCGUCUGAGUACUAUAUAAUAGUUAAAACUUUCAACAACGGAUCUCUUGGUUCUGGCAUCGAUGAAGAACGCAGCGAAAUGCGAUAAGUAAUGUGAAUUGCAGAAUUCAGUGAAUCAUCGAAUCUUUGAACGCACAUUGCGCCCCGUGGUAUUCCGCGGGGCAUGCCUGUUCGAGCGUCAUUUCAACCAAUCAAGCCUCGGCUUGGUCUUGGGGUUUGCGGUCCCGCAUCUCCUAAACUUGGUGGCGGUGCGAUUAAGCUCUGAGCGUAGUAAUUCUUCUCGCUAUAGGGUCUUGGUCGUUACUUGCCAGUAACCCCCAGUUUUUAUUAGGUUGACCUCGGAUCAGGUAGGGAUACCCGCUGAACUUAAGCAUAUCAAUAAGCGGAGGA
rnacentral:rRNA from 1 species